CAGACACAGUGGGAAGAGGAGGUAUUUUUUAACUAGUGCUCGUGCUGAUGACCGGCUUUUUCAGGUACUUCGUAUCUAACCGUCCAAUUUGCCAUCCGCAUUUCCUCCAAACUUUCACCUUAUUCCAGAACAACCAUCUCAGACAGAACACUAGAGAGAAGAGGGGAGUCGCCGGGCACUGGAGAGGAGAGGAGAGGGGAGUCGCCGGGCACUGGAGAGGAGAGGAGAGGGGAGUCGCCGGGCACUGGAGAGGAGAGGAGAGGGGAGUCGCCGGGCACUGGAGAGGAGAGGG